UACGUAGGGGCCUAGCGUUGUCCGGAUUUAUUGGGCGUAAAGCGCACGUAGGCGGCUUUGCAAGUCGGAUGUGAAAUCCCUCGGCUCAACCAAGGAAGUGCAUCCGAAACUGCAGAGCUUGAGUACUUAAGAGGAUCGCGGAAUUCCCGGUGUAGAGGUGAAAUUCGUAGAUAUCGGGAGGAACACCAGUGGCGAAGGCGGCGAUCUGGGAAGAUACUGACGCUGAGGUGCGAAAGCGUGGGGAGCAAACAGG
rnacentral:rRNA from 1 species